rnacentral:lncRNA from 1 species
GAUGAAAGUUCACUUUUUUGUUAGUGGGAAUGGGGGGUGAAAACCCAAAAUCCCACUUUUUUGACUCAAAAUGGCUCAAAAUCAAAAAUGGCUAUUUUUGGAAAUAGGAAGGGGAUGAUGGACCCAAAAUUGGAGUUUUUUGGGUCAAAAUUGGGCAAAAUCCAGAAUUUUGAUAUUGGGGGAUUUGGGGAGAAAAUGAAAGUUCACAUUUUUGUUAAUGGGAAUGGGGGGUGAAAACCCAAAAUCCCACUUUUUUGACUCAAAAUGGCUCCACAUCAAAAAUCGCAAUUUUUCGCACUUCCCCAGCCCAAAAUCGCAAUUUUUUUGUUUAUUGGACCAAAAAAAAAACCCAAAAAUGGACAUUUUUGAGUCGGGGGGGGGAGGGGGGAGGGGAGGGGAGGGAGAGGUGGGGGAGGGGGUGGAAAUUUUGGGGUGAAAAAAGGAGAUUUUGGGGUCGUUUUCAGAAGAUGAUGGAUUUGGGUUCGCCGCGGGGUUUCUGCAGUUUGUCCAAAUUCUUCCGCACUGCGUCCAAUAGCACGGCCUGCGGGGGGUCACGUGACAGGUCAAAGGUCACGCGGGGUCACCCGGGGUCAAAGGUCAGGCAGGGGGUCGUCAGGGGUCAAAGGUCGCCAAAGGUCACCCGGGGUCAAAGGUCAGACAGGGAGUCGUCAGGGGUCAAAGGUCACCCGGGGGUCUGAGGUGACUGAUAGGUGUGGUUAUGGGAAGAUGGGGUGGAGGCAUCGAAAGGUCAUCUGGGGGUCAAAGGUCAGCCUGGGGUCUCGCAGGAUCAGGGGUCACACAGAGGGCAGAGGUCAGAGGUCAACCGGGGGUCAGCGGUUACACAGGGAUCAGAGGUCAGCUGGGGGUCAAAGGUCACACAGGUGUGGGCAUCAGGGGUCAAAGGUCACGCUGAGGUAAGAGGUCACCAAUGGGGUGGAUCUGUGGGGCGGAGCUAUGGGGCAGGGCAGGGAUCUAUGGGGCAGAUCUAUGGGGUGGAUCUAUGGGGCAGAACAAGGAUCUAUGGGGCAGAAUAGGGAUCUAUGGGGCAGAUCUAUGGGAGAUCUAUGGGGCAGAACAAGGAUCUAUGGGGCAGAAUAGGGAUCU